ACUUGUUAGACUUAAGAGAAUCUUGAGUUUAUGGACUUCAGGGGGAGUAUGGUCACAAGGCUGAAACUUAAAGGAAUUGACGGAAGGGCACACCAGGAGUGGAGCCUGCGGCUUAAUUUGACUCAACACGGGAAAACUUACCAAGACCGAACAGUAGAAGGAAUGACAGAUUAAGAGUUCUUUCAUGAUUUAUUGGGUAGUGGUGCAUGGCCGUUCUUAGUUGGUGGAGUGAUUUGUCAGGUUAAUUCCGGUAACGAACGAGACUGAAACCUAUUAAUUAGUUUUCUGCCUAUAAGACAGAAAUGUUCGCAAGAACAGGUGCGUAAGUACCACUUCUUAAAGGGACACAUUUCAAUUGUCCUAUUUUAAUUGUAGUUAUCUAAUUUCGUA
rnacentral:rRNA from 1 species